rnacentral:rRNA from 1 species
UACGUAGGGGGAGAGCGUUGUUCGGAUUUACUGGGCGUAAAGGGCGCGCAGGCGGCCAUUCAAGUCAGGCGUGAAAGCCCCGGGCUUAACCUGGGAGGUGCGCUUGGGGCUGGAUGGCUAGAGAUCGGGAGAGGAGAGUGGAAUUCCCAGUGUAGAGGUGAAAUUCGUAGAUAUUGGGAAGAACACCGGUGGCGAAGGCGGCUCUCUGGACCGAUACUGACGCUGAGGCGCGAAAGCGUGGGGAGCAAACAGG